AGUGAACGCUGGCGGUAGGCCUAACACAUGCAAGUCGAACGGCAGCACAGUAAGAGCUUGCUCUUACGGGUGGCGAGUGGCGGACGGGUGAGGAAUACAUCGGAAUCUACUUUUUCGUGGGGGAUAACGUAGGGAAACUUACGCUAAUACCGCAUACGACCUACGGGUGAAAGCAGGGGAUCUCGGGACCUUGCGCGAUUGAAUGAGCCGAUGUCGGAUUAGCUAGUUGGCGGGGUAAAGGCCCACCAAGGCGACGAUCCGUAGCUGGUCUGAGAGGAUGAUCAGCCACACUGGAACUGAGACACGGUCCAGACUCCUACGGGAGGCAGCAGUGGGGAAUAUUGGACAAUGGGCGCAAGCCUGAUCCAGCCAUACCGCGUGGGUGAAGAAGGCCUUCGGGUUGUAAAGCCCUUUUGUUGGGAAAGAAAAGCAGCAGGUUAAUACCCCGCUGUUCUGACGGUACCCAAAGAAUAAGCACCGGCUAACUUCGUG
rnacentral:rRNA from 1 species